CUUAAUAUCCUCUUUCCUUUUCUAAUAUGCAAACUUCUAAUAUGUGAGGUGAAGAAGUGCAUGAGUUGCGGUUCGCCUUAGGCUCCUCCCACUCGUCGACGGUCUGGUCCAGCGUCACUUAACCGUUGUGACCUGGCCGGUUUGGUUCAGCUUUGAGCUGCCCACCGCGGAGUGGGAGGACGGCAUGCUCAUGAACAUCGAGGUCGGAUCAAGUAUGAUGGUGCACCGCGGCAUGUGGUGGCCUAUUUUUUUUUGUAGUGGUACUGUAUAUGGUCUCAUCCAACAUUGAGUAUCCAUAUGUUGUUUUAAUACUGAUGAUAAUGUUGUAGCAUAAAGUAGACACCAUAUCUGGUUUGUCUUGAUGUUUUAACUAUGGUGGUUCUUGUCUGAUGCACAUUAUUCUUUGAAGGGUUAUGAUGAUAGAAAUAUAUUGACCCUGAUGUGAGAAAGGUGCCCAUUUUCCCUUUGUUAAACAUUUUCACUCUGCUUUAUGUUCUUUGCGUGGUUCCAGUUUCACACUGCUGGUGUUUCAUGCGAUAUUCAUCGCAUCCUGCUCACAUGCCUUAUGAUCGAGUAACUUGAUGAAAAACUAUGUUGUUUGUUCAUUCUGCUAUAUUAUUUUGAGAUCAUGUGGUGUAAUGAUAUUGUUGUGUUAUUUUGAGAAUUAUAUUAUUAUCAUUAUAUUCUCAUGUGCUUUUUGUCGACUACCAAAUUUUCCAAUGAAAUGUUGUUGAUAUCCCUUGAAUAAUUGCUGGACUAAAUUAUGCGAGUGGGCUAGAAAUGGGAUGGUUCAAUUAAUGAUGGAAUGAAUAGCUGGGUUGUACAUUGCCUCUGCUAAGAAAAAACAUUAAGUGGGUCAAGGUUGUGGCCCAAAAGUAAAUCUAAAAUUGACAGAAAUAAUGGGCUCCACCUAUAGUUGUGGCCUAAAAGUAAAUCUAAUAAUGGGCUAAUUAUUGGGCUUGUCCCAUUAAAACAGGUGAUUUUAACCGAUCCUACAUGGCGUCCAUGUCAUCAUUUUUGCCAUGUCACUGCAUGUGCCACGUGGACAUUGCCACAUCAGAUCCUACGUGUUUCAAGCUCAUUAGUAAUGACCAUAAUUUUGGUCGUAGAUUUUACGACCAAUAUUUUGGUCAAGGGCGGCCAUGACCAGAAUUUCAGAAAAGGUCAAGUUUGUUUGUUCUUGACGGCCAACUUUUGACGUCCUGAAUUUGGUCAAAAAAAGGUCAAUAAACGAUAACAAUGACUAAUCAACGACCAAAAAGGAGAGUCACAAUCGACCAUAUUUCUUGUAGUGGUUUCAUUGUCUUGCAGUUUUAGUUUGUUUUCAUCUCUUUACUCAACGAUGUUUCUUUUGGCGUAACGCAGUGGGAUUGUUAACCCUUUCAUUUGCUUAGCUCCCGAGUAGAAUUUACAGGUUUGACUGAAUUGUGGAGAGGAAUGGCGAUUCGUUGCUGGUGUAGAGUCAGGAGUGCUUGGAGAAGGUUGCCAAGACGGUCUCCUUCCUCGCGCAACCUGAAGGGUCAUUCCUGUUGUUGCUCACAGGUAAUUCAGUUCUGAUGCAUCUGUUCUAAUACUUUUAUGGAAUUAUAUAUAGGGGCUGCUGAUUGUGUGCGUUUACUAGUUAGAUUUUGUUUGCAAUCAAGGGUGAACACUAUGAUCGUAGUAUCAUGACUGGAAAGUUUGUGCCUAUACCAUUGCUUCUUUCCUUCAGGCUUAAACAUUUGGUAUCACAUCUCAUUAGAGCGAGCGUGUGACCUAUGUAGCUGGGAUUACUUUGGAUUCAGCGCAACAUCGGCAGCUUAUAUUUAUAAUUUGAAACCAAACAUCAUGUGCUUAUUCUUGUAUGUGAAUGUUCUCUUGAAAAUCUUAGUUGUAUUCUUUGGAGCUUAUGUGUAUAUAUCUGUGUGUGUGUGUGUAGUCGUCACUAGUUGACAAUUUAAGUAUCUUGAUACCUCCUAAAUUUUGUAACAAACAUUGCUGGUGUUGUUAUGUUAGAAGUCAAUAUGUAUCAAAAUUUGUAAUUCUGAAUCAUUUGUUUUCUUUCUCUAACGCUUUUGAUUCAUGCUUCUUUUGCGAGGGGAAGUUCAAAAGGACCGCGCGCUGGAGCUCCUAAACGUGCACCCCUUCUACUUCGUUUACUUAUGUGGCGUGAUGACAGAAAGCAAACCUUUGGAGCCAUAGUUGUCUUUUUUGUGAUCUAAAAUAAUAAUGGUAACAUAUUAAUGC
rnacentral:lncRNA from 1 species